CCCAGGCUUGGGUCAGAUCCCCGUCCACAGGCAUUCACCUGGGCGGCAUGACCUCAGGCUCCCGGAUCGAGAGCCAGACCAUUUCUGGCUUCCCUUCUUCUCCUUCUGGUCAGUACCCAGCCACCCACCUGACCACCAAGGGGGACCACCCUCCGGCUCUGACCCUUCUUGACCUGCGCGUACACGCAGCCAGGGCCCAUUCGUCUGUGGGCUGUGACUUUCGUGGCCGACGGGGGAUUUGCCAGUGGUGUUGUGUGCAGCCAGGAGGAUCUGUGGGCUUUUGGCUGAAGAAACUAGAGAGAGAGAGCUGGCACCGAGCAGGGAGGAGGAUCAGAAAGGUACAAGCAGACUCCCCACUGAGCAGCCUGACACGGGGCUCAAUCCCAGGAUCCCAGGAUCAUCACCUGAGCUGGAGGCAGAUUGAGCCACCCAGGCGCCCUGCACCCUCACUUCUGAAACUGUCUUGUUUAUUGGUGUUUGCUGUCUGCACACCCACCUGGAUCAGCUUCUGGAGAGAAGGCUGUUGUGUCCGCCUUGCUCCCUCAGGGCCUGGAGGAGGGCUGUGUCCGUAGUAGGUGCUCAGGAUUUCAGUGAGUGCCUCUGACCCCACACAUGGGUGGUUGGCCUUUCCCACUGCCCCCCAGGAAGCCCUAUUAUUUGUCCUAACAACCCCAGCUGUUCUGUGCAACCACUGAAGCGGUCUUGCUCACUUGGUCCCACUGUCAUCACUGAGGAGGAGAGUCCCCAGCCGAUGAGGCUGAGGCCUGGAACUGCUGUGGGAUGUGCUCAAGGUCACUCACCGGCCAGGGGCAGGCAGAGAUCAAGAGGAUGGGAAUGGGAGGGGAUGGCCAACAGCCAAGGGCUCAGCACCUAUCAGGUAAGCCUGUCCCUGAAAAGGGCUUUCUGUGUGUCACAUGUGCGGGGACACAGAGGGUGUGGUGACCCCCAUCACCUGGAGGUGUAUCUGUGAUGCCAGAUGCCUGUGUACACGUCCUCAGCCGCAGAGCACACAGAGUAUUCUUUCCGGGCCUUAGGGGCGAGCCUUUGUUCGCUGGACCCCACAUCCCAUCAUUCUGGCCAUGCCCACAACUGAGCAGAGCCCUGGACAGGGAGCCAGGCCCAGCCAGGCCGUCUCAGGCCAGCAAAACCCUUCCUACCGGGGCUGGGGGCAGCUGGGCUCCAGGGCUGAUAUAAGGGUAGUGGGGAGGCCCCCAGCUGAGAGGCCAAGGCAUGAGGGUGCGGCUCCUACCCAGCACAGCGUCCUCUCCAGAAUCUGAAGAGAAUCCCCCAGAGACAGAGCCCAGGUCCCAUGGCAGGCCCAGCUGGAGAGGCCUGGUGGCCUUGGACCAGGUCCUGACCUUCUGUGGGCUUGACCCCCCAAAGGCCGUGGGGAACCCUGGAGAGGAGACCCCAUAGGAAGAGGGAGAGGCGUCCCUGCCCUCAGAAGCUGAGAAUGAAGCCCUGGGGCGUCCAGCAGGAUGCGGCCCACUCACCCCCUGGCGGCCCGGGCCUGAAGUGCAGCUCCAGCCACCCGGGAGCCAGGACCCGGAGAACCCCACGCCAGAAGGUCCCGGGCAGCCAACAGGGUCUUUGAGGCCUGCUCCCCCAGGGCUCAGAUGGGCCUCCAGAAAUGCUUGGCAGACGUCACAGGAGGGCCCCAGGCUUGGAACUCGUCUGUGCACCCCAAACCUGUCAAGACUCAUAGAACUUCAGCCACCUGUUCUGGCCUCCCACCUGGGAAUUUGGGGACCUCACCCCACUCGUGUGGACACCAUGCUAACUAGGAACCAGAGGGGCACGGGCCAUCUCAAAUGCACUUGGCAUAGCACCACACACAUGGCACCAGGCCGUCCCCAGCUAGCACUACCAGUUCCCAGAGGUCACUAGAACCCAGGUGGACAGCAGGGAGCACCCAGAGCUGCCCCAGCUGGGCUCCAGGGGCCUCAAGAGGUCAGAGGCAAAAAUCUACUUGGCCCAAGGCUGUGCAGCAGCUCUGGGAGGGAAGGAGCCUAUCAGUGAGCCCAGGAGAGCACUAGCACACCCCGAACGCCAGGGUCAAGGCCUAGUCAAUCAGUGGGGUCAGUCAGAAACCAGAGGCCUGGAAGCUCAAGAGCUUGGAGUGGCUGAGCUGCUCAGCAGUGUUACAGGUGCCCAGGGUGGAGGCUGAACCACACAACUCCAGAAUAAAGGGGCCCAAUGGCUUUACCACCUGAGCUCAGUGUGUGUUCACAGGAGUGAUGAAGCAGCACCUUCCUCAGUGUAAAUACUGUGUCCCACAGAUCCAGGUGCUUCUGCAUGGCACCCACCCCCUAAUGUGUUGAUGGUGGCUAUGGGUUAGAAAAGAACCUGAACAGGCCACAACUGGAACCCAAUCCUAUGUGGAUUAGUGACAUUAUUCUUACACUCAAUACUGCCAGGGUCGGCCCUGCCAUGCCCAUCAGCAACUCCAAAGACAACAGGGAACAUCAAAUCCUCACAGCCUCCUUCCUACUGUGCUACCACCCAAGCUGUGCAAACACAACUGACGACCUCUACAGCAGAGAGCCAGCUGCCUCACCUGGGUGACACAGCUGCCAAGCCUGCUGCCCUGAGGUGUACUCUGACAGCCAUGGGGCAGACCCCAGCUCAGUUUUUAGCUCCCGGCGCACCCAAUCUGCUCCAGGCACAGAACCAGACAAGUGCUAUGGGAAAAAGGAAACCCUUAGCUAAGCCCAGAGGCCAAGGGCAACAUCUCAAUAAAUACAGGCUCCUGUGGUCACAGCGAAAGCAAACAGAACUGGGAAGCAAAUCAGAGGCAGAAGUCACUGGAAAAUAAUUUUUAUUGAGAUCCCACCAGCUGCACAAUCUGGUCCUGACAUUAAGCUCCUUCUUCCUUUGCAAUUCGAUCUUUCUUAAGUGGUCCCUGCAGAGAAAGGACAGUGGGCAAGGUCAGAGGGAGAGAGCACCUGGGCACAAAUACCCCACCCCUAAUUGGCUCCCCGGUGCAGACACAAGCUCAGGAGCCAGCCCAGCUGUGCCUUCUGCACUAGCAACCAUAUGGGCAGGUGGCAAGCUGAUGGGGCCCAUCGCCCAGGAGUCAUCCCAACCCCAGGCCAAGGGUGACAAGGGAGAGGUGUGUACCAUGAAUGCUUUCUUCUCCUCCACAGUCUGGAAUCGGCCAUGGCCAAACUUGGAGGUGGUGUCAAUGAAUUUCAGGUCAAUCUUCUCUAGGGCACGCCGUUUGGUCUGCACCAGCAAGGACUAUGGGCCAAAAAAGCAAAGCUUAAUUACGAAGUGCCAGGCCUUCCUUCCCCACACAUCUUGGCUUGCAGGCCCCUCAACAAAGCUCAGAGAGGACCAACGGUCGGUCUCCAUCGGGCCCUCCAAAGCCUAGAGCAACCCCCUCCCACAACACCUCUAGGCCAGCUGGUUUGCCCAAGAUGACCCCUGCCUGACGACUGAGCAGGAAACACGAAAAAGCAGAGGCAGACAGCUAUGCCAAGCCAGACUGGGAACUUCCUCCUCCCAGGACUUCAAAGCUGCUUUCUGAGGAAUGGCAAAUCCCCUUUUCCUUUGAACUCCCCUCCCAAGUGUGGUGCUAUGCUCCAUGUCUGGGAACGGUCAAUGCUCCCUCUUCAGGAAGGCUGAGCACCACAUGCCUACACCCCACCCACCAGGAAGGGGCCCCAGCCUCACCUUGCGCAGAGUCAGCACUCGCUUCUUGGUGCCCACCACACAGCCUUUCAGCAUCACAAAGUCAUUGGUCACUUCACCGUAGUGGACAAAGCCACCCUGGAGAAACCAAGGCAUCAGGUCAGGUCAUGCACAGGGGUAGAGGUCAGUCCGACACUACACAUGCCGCCCCUGACGACCAUGGGGCUGUUCUCAGAAGGAAGGCAGCAAGGAAUGUUUCCGCAGUCUGACUCGGGCGCUGCGCCCAGCGCUCAUUCCAGAGCCUCAUCACCGAACAGCUGGGUCAGAGACCUCCCUCAACCAGUUGACCCAAGUCUUGCCGUUUACAAGGGACUAACAGCUGGAAGCGAUCUGCGCACAGGACCAGGGAUCAGUUAACACGGCCUCCAUGCGCUAACCAGGACCUGAGAGCACCAGGGUUGCACCGCACAGGUGAGACCCAGAGCAGAUUAGUCCCUAGGAAUGAGGGGGAAUUCCCCCACAAGAGCCAGGGCUUUGGGGGCUCAGAAGACCUCGCAGGCUACUCACCAGGGGGUUGAUGCUCUUGUCAGACAAAUCGUAAUCAGUGGAAGCGUUGUUCUUGAUCAGCUUGCCAUCCUUGAUGAGAUAGCCCUGGCCAAUCUUGUAUAUCUAAAUGAAAGGAACGUUUUCACACUGCAAGGGGGAAUACUCAGGUGUCCCUAGGCAGGCUAGCUGCAGGAAGGACAACCAAUGCAGACAAGUGGCAUCAAACCCAGCAGCAGGCUAAUCUGCCAAGGACUCUGGAAAAAAUAGCUACCAGUCCUAAUGACGGGGUACCCCAGGCUUGGGGCAGAGAGCAAAUCAGCUGGGCUGAGACACUACCAUCUGAUGGAAACAAAGCCCAGGGGCCUCCCCAAACCCCCGAGGCAAAGGCUCUCUACCCAGGGCACUCUGGGGGUCAGCUACACCAGAGCCACCUUCAAUAAACUACACCUUACAGAUCACACCCAGGAACCAAAAACCAUGCCCAUCAGAAAAGAUGAGCAGCUCAAGUGCAUAUGCAUUCCAGAAGCUCCCCUACCAACUGAGGAGUGCUACUCCCAACACCGGCCUAGUCUUUCCCUUCUCCGCGUCAAGGGGAACUCCCUCCUUGGCACCUCACCUUCUUGUUGAUCUCAGUGCGGUGAUGGUAGCCUUUCUGCCCAGCCCGAGCCACAGAGAAGGCCACUCGGGCAGGAUGCCAGGCUCCAAUACAGGCAACCUUGCGCAGGCCCCGGUGGGUUUUGCGGGGUAGCUUCUUGGUGUGCCAGCGGCUGGUGACCCCUGAAAAAAACACAAGCUUGUUUCAGGCUGUCUGGCACUUGCGCCAUUGGCCUCUUUCCUGUCAUAAACACCCAAUGUGAGUUCAUGCAUUUGUGGUGCUUGUAUAUGAACAUUCAACAGCUACUAACUAGAUCAGUUUGAGGGACAGGUGGGUUUAACAUACGUUACCCUCAAAUACCCAUGUCCUCCCCCUCCUCUCACAUUUCUUCAGGUUUAUUACCUGCCUAGACAUAAACCUGUUCUCAAACCUGUAACAAAAAGUCUUGGGAGAAUCAGCCCAGAACUAGAAUGGGAACACGUGCACUUCACAGCAUUCACCAAGUUCCUCACUGGCAGAAGCCAGUGAGGAGGGACUCAAUUUCCAGGUCCCCUCUGCCUCCUGCAGUGGGCUGCAUGUGGCAAAAGGGUUCUUAAGUAUGGCCAGAAUUCUCUCCCAGCCCUCCAUAUUUCCCUCCCACCUGGCCACAAGGCUGUUCUCAGAAGGCAGGCAAGGAGACAAAUUCCUGCACAAUCUUACUCCAGCCACGUGCCAGUGCUUAUUCCAGAGCCUCAUCACCAAAGCUCCAGACAUGGAAGCCCUGAGUUUUAUGGCAACCUGGGCCAUCGCAAACUCACCUUUGUAGCCUUUGCCCUUGGUGACACCGAUGACAUCAAUCAUCUCAUCUUGCCCAAACACCUGGUUCACAGGCACCUGCUGUUCCAGCCUCUCACGGGCCCAGUCGAGCUUCUCGGCCACUGUGCCUCCGUUCACCUGGAUCUCCAUGAGGUGGGCCUUCUUCUGGCGCAGAGGAAGCAGGCGCAUCUAGGAGGGAACCAAUACAGCUCAGAUCCCUGAGCUUCGAGAUCUUCCAUGGGAAGGAAGUCAGGGUGGGCAGAACAGUUUGGCAACCCUGAACCUCAUGUUUCCCCAUUGGCAAAAAUGAAGCCGCCUUCCUGUGUUAACUCCCCACUGGGUACAAGUCCCCUUUCCAACUCAUACACUGUGGGAAAGUGGAAUAGCACCUCGGUCGGAAUAGAAGCUGCAAAGAUUAAGGGAAAAAUAUUCAAGCCUAAAGCCUUUCAUUAAAGGUGGCCCAGUGCUGUUCUAUAGAAUUUUCUUCAGAAAUGGUCAGAUUACAAAUCUGAGCUGAUCCAGUCAUUGCUAACCCCAGGGAAACUGAACCCUUGGGAAUAAGAUGUAAACCUAGAAUGACAGCUCAGAUCAACUGUAGAGGAAGAAAUAGUCAUUCUAACCCAGUCAGGCAAAGACUUAUUCAGUUCAUAGCAAAUAAGAUUUUCAGGGUAAAUGACAAGUGUCCUCCUCCAGACUCCUCUCAGCUAUGCAUUUUACAGUUAAGGAGUUCUGCGUUCCUUCAGCCCCUUUUCCUAAAAUGGGGCACGGCUUCAAUAAAGACUAGAGACACACUGCCCUCUGCUGGCAUCAGAAAAACCAACCCACAAGCCUAGAGGCACUACAGGCUUCCUUCUCAGACCAACUGUCUUAACCUGGCCCCAGAAAUCAGGGGCAGGGCAGGCGCUGCACUGUGCUGCUGUGGAACUUUGAGCAACCCCCCAGGCUGCUUACUGGCCCAUGCAUCCAGACUUUAAAUCCUGAGACCACACAAGGUCAGUGUGAGAAAAGGGAUAAUUCACAGCAGGUAACAAGGUGCCAUCUGAUACCCCAAGCUGUGGGGCAGUCACCUUCCUUUUGUGCACCUUGUGGGGUGCUCACCUGGGUGUGGGCGAUGACACGGAUCACCUGGCAAUACUUCUUCAUGCUGUUGAAGUCCUUCUCCAGCUGCUUCUUGCCAUCGUCAUCCUGCCACUUCUUGCAAUAUUUGGUGAAGGCCUUCUUCUUAGACUUAUGCCUUCAGGAGCAGAGCAGAGUUGGGGACGGGGCCGGGUGCAGGCCUUCAUCACCCCUCCAAAGGGGCGAGCGGAAGGCACACUGGCACCACAUGGGGAUGGGGCUCAUUGCCGGCUUCUAAGGAGCCUUUUCCACCGGCAAGCGGAGCCUGGAUGGAGCUCAUCGGGCAGAGCCGAGCGGAGCUGAGCAGAGGUCCACAAAAUUAAUGCAAGUCACAAGCAUUCAAAUACACACUAAUUCUUGCUCCGGCUUAGCCAUUAACCCAACCACACUCCUGGACAGAAGGACUGGGGAGUGUUACACUGCACCCCUCAGUUUCUAAACACCUCCCAGCAACUAAGAACACUGAAUACCAAGAGUCCUCACCCAACACCUAACACUAAGCUGAACGUGAAGGUCUAGAGGUGCUGCUCAAGGUCUGCCCUCACAAUUUGUUCUGGCAACUAAACCAGACACCAGAGCAGCUCUUCCCCACCAGAGUGAAGCCCAGCACAGGGUACUUGCUCUCCUCAUCCAGAGUGCACGGCCUCCUUGUCCCUUACCAGUUCUUAUAGAAGCGCCUUUUGCAUUCGUCACUGAUGUGCUCAGCAAAGAUGGUCUUAAAGGUACGGAGGCCUCGAGGGGUUUCCACAUAGCCAACGAUGCCCACAACCACCAUGGGUGGGGUCUCCACAAUGGUCACAGCCUCCACCACUUCCUUCUUGUUCACCUCUGCCAAAAAGAGUGGUCAGACUUGAGUGGGACAGCUAAAUCCCCAAUAAGGAAUAAGCGUUUUUGCAGAAGUGUGAAAUCCCCAUCUGGGUCAAGAGUGCAACCAGCUUCAGCUAGCAGGGGACUUUUCAGAAAUGGGGUCCUUACAGGCCGUCUAGACUCCCAGGCUUGUCCUUACUCCAUACAUUAGAAUUCUAACUCAACAAAACUCUUUCGCUGGCUCGUUUUAAUUCUCAUCUAUCACAAAUCUCUGGGGCACUUGCGUGGCUCAGUUGGUUAAGCAUCUGCCUUUACCUCAGGUCAUGAUCCCAGGGUCCGGGGAUUGGGCUCCCUGGUCAGUGGGGAGUCUGCUUUCUCUCUCCCCCUGCUCACUCUGAGCACUCUUACAAAAAGUUAAAAAAUUUACUCGUAACGCUGACUUCAGUACAUCCCCCCACCUAAAGCAACACCAGCCACCCGCAGUCUUUAGUGUUAAUCAAACCCCAUGGGGAUUCCCACCCCGUCAAGUCUGCCCUCUCGGGACUACCGUCCAGGCCACCCCCAACCAGCGUGAAGGAUCCCGCUUGUACUCACUGGAUCCUGGCCGGUCCACCUCCCGCACGAUGUGAGUCAUGCCGGCCUUGUAGCCCAGGAAGGCUGUGAGGUGGACAGGCUUGGAAGAGUCAUCCUUGGGGAAGCUCUUCACCUUCCCACGGUGGCGGCUGCUGCGUUUCCGAGGCAAGAAGCCCAGGGACCCAUGCCUGGGAGCGGAGAACUUCCUGUGGGACUGGGAGAAAAGAUAACAUGAGCACUCCCAACCCCUCUUAUGUAGCUCACUCCUGAUGCCGGGCUUGCCUCAGUGGCGAAGGAUUCUCCACAAUGCCGAGCCCGCGCCAGAGGCCCUGCGCCCCAGCUAACAAGUGUGCUUACGGGCUGGACUGGGUUCACCUUGCACAAGGCCCUGCGGCCUAAACUGAAUCUUUACCUCAAAACCUCAUUUUGUAACUUUAAGAUGGAACCUCCCCUUCUCUAAAUGGGCCAAAAGCACACCAGGUGAGGUCAUUAAGUCACAGGUGCCUCUGCCAUCCAGUCAGCCCAGAUCCUGACAAGGGGGCUGCGGGGACCAAGGGGCUCCCCGCCGGCCCCAGACACGAAGGCCACCACAGAGCCAAAUCAGAACGUGACAAUCAGCACAGAGGAUCUGUCCGCCCGUCAGAAAGUUCAUCAUCUGUGGCUCCUAGGACUCGAGGCCUCACCUCACGGGUGGUACCGGCCUCCCACGCAGGUCAGCGCGGGGCCUCGGCAACCCCAGCCCGGGCUCCCCUCCCACGUGCCGGCACAAGCCCAGCGCCCCGACUCAAGGUCCUCCCGGCCCACGUACCUACGAACUCCAGCUUACACUAGCACCAACUCAGUGAGCUCGAGCCCCAGGUAUUAUCCGGGACUCGAGACCUCCAUACCGGAGCCCGCCCCGCGGGCGUUCGCCAGCCGCCUGGCGGGCCCCAAACCAACCACAAGCCUCACGCGUUUUCAGAAAAUAGGCCUCACUGCGGAUCGCGCUAAGCGCCCCGCGCUCUUGGAGCAGGCCCCCGGCCCCCGCCGAGGUGAGAUGGCGGCGCUGCGCCGCGGAUUGAGCCCCACCGCCGCGCCAACGAGGAGGAAACCGCCAUGAUACGUACCAUCGUGCCGCCCAGUACAGCCGGUAGAGGUCGGGCCACGAGCGACCAGUCAUUUAUAUAGCCCGGCCUGGGCCCGCCCCUUCCGGCGUACGAGCGCGCGCCCGCGGGGGACGCUGGGUCGGGGGGCGGGUGCAGGCCGCCAUUUCCACGCUCGCUCGUCCUCGCCUAGCGUUUGCUUCGGAGCGGGACGCCGUCCACGGGGGGCGGGGACUAGAAACUACGGCAAGCGGCUGGGUUCAAACUUCGCGAAGCGUCGCGGAAACGCUGGCAGAGCUUUGGAGCGCGACGACUGUAGGGGUUUGGGUAGCUGCCAAAUUUGGUCGAAGACGCCGUUACGCUGAAGCUACGCGGCUGCGUCUUUUUCCUGUGAGAUGCAGUCACCUCUAGGAUUGGAUAACCCGGCUGCGGGUUUCAGUGCCGAAGCGCCCGCACACGCCUCUCCGGGUUCCGUCCCACGCAGCGGAUCUGCGGUGUUGCCGUUUGGCGGGCACGCUGAGCUGGGACGAGUUGCCCCGCUGCCACCUGCUCAAAGUUGGAAAGAAAAGAGCGAAAGCCCGGUUUCCUGGCUCCCAGCCCAAAGCUGCUUCCCCGACACCCAACCUGCCUUCAGUGCGUUCUGAUUUCCGACGUGCGCCCCCGGAGCCCCAUCUCGGCCGCUGCUCCCGGUGUCCAGCUGCUGUGGUCCUGCUUCUGGGGUCGCUGUGGCGCCUAAACGACCUCAGGACCUGCGGGGACGGGUCCGGCUGCCCAGCCCCGGAGCCUGGCCCUGCAGCCCCAGGGACCCUCGCAGAUGUCGCUUGCGCACCCGCCCCCACGCUCUCCCACCCCCGGGGCCCAGGAGGCUCCUAAGCGUUCUCCCUACCUCCAGGCUUGCCUUUCCAAAUCUUUUUAAGAAUCAAAUGUCAUCUUGUUA